rnacentral:tRNA from 1 species
GCCCUGUAGCUCAGUUGGUAGAGCAUGGUGUUUGCAAUGCCAGGGUUGUGGGUUCGAUUCCCACGGGGGGCC